GAGACAGCAGCCGCCGCGGGAAUACAGAGGAUGCAAGCGUUAUCCGGAAUGAUUGGGCGUAAAGGGCUCGCAGGCGGUUUCUUAAGUCUGAUGUGAAAGCCCCCGGCUCAACCGGGGAGGGUCAUUGGAAACUGGGAAACUUGAGUGCAGAAGAGGAGAGUGGAAUUCCACGUGUAGCUGUGAAAUGCGUAGAGAUGUGGAGGAACACCAGUGGCGAAGGCGACUCUCUGGUCUGUAACUGACGCUGAGGAGCGAAAGCGUGGGGAGAAAAUGGGAUUAGAUACCCGUGUAGUCCCUGUCUCUUAUAC
rnacentral:rRNA from 1 species